AACGAACGCUGGCGGCAUGCCUAACACAUGCAAGUCGAACGAGACCUUCGGGUCUAGUGGCGCACGGGUGCGUAACGCGUGGGAACCUGCCCUUAGGUUCGGAAUAACUCCCCGAAAGGGGUGCUAAUACCGGAUAAUGUCUUCGGACCAAAGAUUUAUCGCCUUUGGAUGGGCCCGCGUUGGAUUAGCUAGUUGGUAGGGUAAAAGCCUACCAAGGCGACGAUCCAUAGCUGGUCUGAGAGGAUGAUCAGCCACACUGGGACGGAGACACGGCCCAGACUCCUACGGGAGGCAGCAGUGGGGAAUAUUGGCCAAUCGGCGAAAGCCUGAUCCAGCAAUGCCGCGUGAGUGAUGAAGGCCUUAGGGUUGUAAAGCUCUUUUACCCGGGAUGAUAAUGACGGUACCGGAAGAAUAAGCUCCGGCUAACUUCGUG
rnacentral:rRNA from 1 species